AGAGACAGCAGCCGCCGCGGUAAUACGUAGGGUGCAAGCGUUAAUCGGAAUUACUGGGCGUAAAGCGUGCGCAGGCGGUGUUGUAAGACUGAUGUGAAAUCCCCGGGCUCAACCUGGGAACUGCAUUGGUGACUGCAACGCUGGAGUGCGGCAGAGGGGGAUGGAAUUCCGCGUGUAGCAGUGAAAUGCGUAGAUAUGCGGAGGAACACCGAUGGCGAAGGCAAUCCCCUGGGCCUGCACUGACGCUCAUGCACGAAAGCGUGGGGAGCAAACAGGAUUAGAUACCCCCGUAGUCCCUGUCUCUUAUAC
rnacentral:rRNA from 1 species